rnacentral:rRNA from 1 species
AACGAACGCUGGCGGCAGGCCUAACACAUGCAAGUCGAGCGGACCUUUCGGGGUCAGCGGCGGACGGGUGAGUAACGCGUGGGAAUAUGCCCUUCUCUACGGAAUAGUCCUGGGAAACUGGGGGUAAUACCGUAUACGCCCUUUGGGGGAAAGAUUUAUCGGGGUAGGAUUAGCCCGCGUUGGAUUAGGUAGUUGGUAGGGUAAUGGCCUACCAAGCCGACGAUCCAUAGCUGGUUUGAGAGGAUGAUCAGCCACACUGGGACUGAGACACGGCCCAGACUCCUCCGGGAGGCAGCAGUGGGGAAUCUUAGACAAUGGGGGCAACCCUGAUCUAGCCAUGCCGCGUGAGUGAUGAAGGCCUUAGGGUUGUAAAGCGCUUUCAGCUGGGAAGAUAAUGACGGUACCAGCAGAAGAAGCCCCGGCUAACUCCGUG